rnacentral:rRNA from 1 species
AUGAACGCUGGCGGCGUGCCUAAUACAUGCAAGUCGAGCGAACAGACGAGGAGCUUGCUCCUCUGACGUUAGCGGCGGACGGGUGAGUAACACGUGGAUAACCUACCUAUAAGACUGGGAUAACUUCGGGAAACCGGAGGUAAUACCGGAUAAUAUAUUGAACCGCAUGGUUCAAUAGUGAAAGACGGUUUUGCUGUCACUUAUAGAUGGAUCCGCGCCGCAUUAGCUAGUUGGUAAGGUAACGGCUUACCAAGGCAACGAUGCGUAGCCGACCUGAGAGGGUGAUCGGCCACACUGGAACUGAGACACGGUCCAGACUCCUACGGGAGGCAGCAGUAGGGAAUCUUCCGCAAUGGGCGAAAGCCUGACGGAGCAACGCCGCGUGAGUGAUGAAGGUCUUCGGAUCGUAAAACUCUGUUAUUAGGGAAGAACAAAUGUGUAAGUAACUAUGCACGUCUUGACGGUACCUAAUCAGAAAGCCACGGCUAACUACGUG